GAGGGUGACGGGUGGUGCAUGGUUGUCGUCAGCUCGUGUCGUGAGAUGUUGGGUUAAGUCCCGCAACGAGCGCAACCCUCGACCUUAGUUGCCAGCAUUCAGUUGGGCACUCUAAGGUGACUGCCGGCUAAAAGUCGGAGGAAGGUGGGGGAUGACGUCAAAUCAUCAUGCCCCUUAUGACCUGGGCUACACACGUGCUACAAUGGGCGGUACAAAGGGUCGCGAACCCGCGAGGGGGAGCCAAUCCCAAAAAGCCGCUCUCAGUUCGGAUUGCAGGCUGCAACUCGCCUGCAUGAAGCCGGAAUCGCUAGUAAUCGCGGAUCAGCAUGCCGCGGUGAAUACGUUCCCGGGCCUU
rnacentral:rRNA from 1 species